rnacentral:rRNA from 1 species
CUGGAGGUAUCAGAAGUGCGAAUGCUGACAUAAGUAACGAUAAAGCGGGUGAAAAGCCCGCUCGCCGGAAGACCAAGGGUUCCUGUCCAACGUUAAUCGGGGCAGGGUGAGUCGACCCCUAAGGCGAGGCCGAAAGGCGUAGUCGAUGGGAAACAGGUUAAUAUUCCUGUACUUGGUGUUACUGCGAAGGGGGGACGGAGAAGGCUAUGUUGGCCGGGCGACGGUUGUCCCGGUUUAAGCGUGUAGGCUGGUUUUCCAGGCAAAUCCGGAAAAUCAAGGCUGAGGCGUGAUGACGAGGCACUACGGUGCUGAAGCAACAAAUGCCCUGCUUCCAGGAAAAGCCUCUAAGCAUCAGGUAACAUCAAAUCGUACCCCAAACCGACACAGGUGGUCAGGUAGAGAAUACCAAGGCGCUUGAGAGAACUCGGGUGAAGGAACUAGGCAAAAUGGUGCCGUAACUUCGGGAGAAGGCACGCUGAUAUGUAGGUGAGGUCCCUCGCGGAUGGAGCUGAAAUCAGUCGAAGAUACCAGCUGGCUGCAACUGUUUAUUAAAAACACAGCACUGUGCAAACACGAAAGUGGACGUAUACGGUGUGACGCCUGCCCGGUGCCGGA